AUUGAACGCUGGCGGCAGGCCUAACACAUGCAAGUCGAACGAGUGGCGGACGGGUGAGUAAUGUCUGGGAAACUGCCUGAUGGAGGGGGAUAACUACUGGAACCGGUAGCUAAUACCGCAUACCAUCGGAUGUGCCCAAAUGGGAUUAGCUAGUGGGUGGGGUAAAGGCUCACCUAGGCGACGAUCCCUAGCUGGUCUGAGAGGAUGACCAGCCAAACGGGAACGGAGACACGGUCCAGAACGCUACGGGAGGCAGCAGUGGGUAAUAUGGCACAAUGGGCGCAAGCCUGAUGCAGCCAUGCCGCUGGUAAGAAGAAGGCCUUCGGGUUGUAAAGUACUUUCAGCGGGGAGGCGUUACCCGCAGAAGAAGCACCGGCUAACUCCGUGCCAGCAGCCGCGGUAAUUC
rnacentral:rRNA from 1 species